AUUGAACGCUGGCGGCAGGCCUAACACAUGCAAGUCGAGCGGAUGAAGGGAGCUUGCUCCUGGAUUCAGCGGCGGACGGGUGAGUAAUGCCUAGGAAUCUGCCUGGUAGUGGGGGGUAACGUCCGGAAACGGGCGCUAAUACCGCAUACGUCCUGAGGGAGAAAGUGGGGGAUCUUCGGACCUCACGCUAUCAGAUGAGCCUAGGUCGGAUUAGCUAGUUGGUGGGGUAAAGGCCUACCAAGGCGACGAUCCGUAACUGGUCUGAGAGGAUGAUCAGUCACACUGGAACUGAGACACGGUCCAGACUCCUACGGGAGGCAGCAGUGGGGAAUAUUGGGCAAUGGGCGAAAGCCUGAUCCAGCCAUGCCGCGUGUGUGAAGAAGGUCUUCGGAUUGUAAAGCACUUUAAGUUGGGAGGAAGGGCAGUAAGUUAAUACCUUGCUGUUUUGACGUUACCAACAGAAUAAGCACCGGCUAACUUCGUG
rnacentral:rRNA from 1 species